AACGUAGGAGACAAACGUUAUCCGGAGUUACUGGGCGUAAAGGGCGUGUAGGUGGUAGUGUAAGUCUGGCGUGAAAUUUUUCGGCUUAACCGGGAAAGGUCGUCGGAUACUGCACAACUAGAGGACGGUAGAGGCGUGUGGAAUUCCGGGUGUAGUGGUGAAAUGCGUAGAGAUCCGGAGGAACCCCAGAGGCGAAGGCGGCGCCCUGGCUCGCAACUGACGCUCAGACACGACAGCAUGGGGAGCGAACGGG
rnacentral:rRNA from 1 species